rnacentral:rRNA from 1 species
UGCGUAGGUGGUUCGUUAAGUCUGAUGUGAAAGCCCUGGGCUCAACCUGGGAAUUGCAUUGGAUACUGGCGGGCUGGAGUGCGGUAGAGGGUAGUGGAAUUCCCGGUGUAGCAGUGAAAUGCGUAGAUAUCGGGAGGAACAUCCGUGGCGAAGGCGACUGCCUGGACCAGCACUGACACUGAGGCACGAAAGCGUGGGGAGCAAACAG